rnacentral:rRNA from 1 species
AUUUGGCGGACGGGUGAGUAAUGCCUAGGAAUCUGCCUGGUAGUGGGGGAUAACGUCCGGAAACGGGCGCUAAUACCGCAUACGUCCUGAGGGAGAAAGUGGGGGAUCUUCGGACCUCACGCUAUCAGAUGAGCCUAGGUCGGAUUAGCUAGUUGGUGGGGUAAAGGCCUACCAAGGCGACGAUCCGUAACUGGUCUGAGAGGAUGAUCAGUCACACUGGAACUGAGACACGGUCCAGACUCCUACGGGAGGCAGCAGUGGGGAAUAUUGGACAAUGGGCGAAAGCCUGAUCCAGCCAUGCCGCGUGUGUGAAGAAGGUCUUCGGAUUGUAAAGCACUUUAAGUUGGGAGGAAGGGCAGUAAGUUAAUACCUUGCUGUUUUGACGUUACCAACAGAAUAAGCACCGGCUAACUUCGUGCCAGCAGCCGCGGUAAUAAUC